GUUGGAAGAUGCAGCCGCAGAGAGUAUGAAAUGAGCAGAUAGAUCUAAGUUAUUGGUUGAUCCAAAUACUAAAACAAAUCAUCAAACAUAUUCUCUAUUUUCUAUCGAAGAUAUGGAGGUGUUAGGAAGAAAAAUUACCAGGAAAUCGAAAUUGUUGUUAAAGAACCAGGUAAUAAAGAGGAGAAAGAAGAAAAGGAAGAGAAAUAAAUGGGUUUUUUACUGGUCUUAGUAUGAACGGACUCGGAAAAUACAACAAUUUCAUGGGAAAAUCUGAUUGUGAAUGCCAGCGGAUUGCAAGUAUAGCCUACAAGCAAUUGGCUUUUUGUUUCUUCAAAUGUUCACCGAAUGCAACUUCCUGGCCAUUUCCAAAUACGUCUUUGAGAUGCUUACGAGAAAAGUGCAAUGGUUUAAGAGGAAACAUUUCUUCUUUUAUGCAUUGUAGUGUUGCUAAAACAAUAGCAGCGCUUUUGUUUUACAUACCAUCGGGAUGGGCAAACUUGGGAGGAUAAGGAAUGGUUGUGAUCCAAAAACAACAGGGUUUGUUCGUACUAGAUGAAUGUUACGGAAAAUCUACCCUGUGUAUUGCAUUUGGAAUAUUUAGGAACAAGAAAUUUAAAUGGAAAAGAUGUAAACACAUAAAUCACGAAGGCAUCGUCGUGUUCACAACCAAAGUUCGUAAUCUAGACACAGACUCAUACUGAUGAUACAUUUGUGCUGAUUCCUUGGCUCAAAAUCCUCGGGUUUAUCACAGCCUCAUCUAAUAACACCGUGCGAGGCGUUUGCGCACGGGACCUGAGUAAAAAUAAAGAAAACAAAGCAUAGAAGUAAAGAUUCAUGGGGUUUUAGGCGAAUGUAAAGUGCUGAAAUAUAAAUGAGACUGGGGUUUACGUGGUUCAGCACAAAGGCCUACGUCCACGGGGUUUGUUGUUUCACUAUAUACUUGAGGGUUACAGGGAUAGUCGAAUGAGUUUGGAGUUUACAUAUGUCUAUCUAUUGUAAAAGACUUACACUUACAAUUAUUCUCUCUCCUUCUCUCCCUGAUUUUUCCGAUCCCCCUCAC